rnacentral:rRNA from 1 species
GAUGAACGCUGGCGGCGUGCCUAAUACAUGCAAGUCGAGCGAACGGACGAGAAGCUUGCUUCUCCGAUGUUAGCGGCGGACGGGUGAGUAACACGUGGAUAACCUACCUAUAAGACUGGGAUAACUUCGGGAAACCGGAGCUAAUACCGGAUAAUAUUUUGAACCGCAUGGUUCAAAAGUGAAAGACGGUCUUGCUGUCACUUAUAGAUGGAUCCGCGCUGCAUUAGCUAGUUGGUAAGGUAACGGCUUACCAAGGCAACGAUGCAUAGCCGACCUGAGAGGGUGAUCGGCCACACUGGAACUGAGACACGGUCCAGACUCCUACGGGAGGCAGCAGUAGGGAAUCUUCCGCAAUGGGCGAAAGCCUGACGGAGCAACGCCGCGUGAGUGAUGAAGGUCUUCGGAUCGUAAAACUCUGUUAUUAGGGAAGAACAUAUGUGUAAGUAACUGUGCACAUCUUGACGGUACCUAAUCAGAAAGCCACGGCUAACUACGUG